ACCGGUGGCUUGUACACAAGACGUGCCCAACUUGCAUUCAAGUUUUGGCCUGGCAGAAUUCUGACAGGGCAAAGUGACACAUUUAAACUUCAAACAGAAACCAAAACAAACAUUAGCUAGAGAAAACUAAUCCCAGUCAGGUGCAGUUACUAGGUUCUGGAUUUAAACUAUUAAUUGUAAGUUAUUUUUGCUUAAUUUUGAAUUAUUUCUAAUAAAAAUCAUUUGCAGUUUGAGCUGCAGUAAUGCUGCUCCAAAAAUGUAGUUUGGUCUAAAUUACGUCCGAACAAACUCAAAAAUUAAUAAGAGAACGGAUCUAACCUCAAUGCAGUGACUGGCAUAAUUCGGCAAGAUCCAUUCUGUUGCAAAGGUGCUACGAUUACCACAACGGGCAGGAUGGUGAAGGUCAAAAUAGGAGCCCGUGUGUUUGACACCCAAGGCGAGGAAGAUCAAGAUCGUUGGUUGUUGCUCGUCGAUUAUGGGGUUGAACGUCGGCAAGAUGCGACCGCGGAAAGCUGUUCCGCGGAGGAGUUGCCAGAUCAAGCUCAAGACAAGAUUGUACGUGAAGGACCUUCAACGAUGGACCCUAUUCGGAGGGCCAUAAGGGAAGAGUAUGACCGACGGAAGAAGGAGCUGGAUCUGGAAUUUUCGGUGAAAGCGGAUGAACUCAAAAGGGAGUUCGAUUUCCGCAGGAGAAUGAUCAUCGAAGCCCAUCUACGAGAAAAAGAAGAGGACUUCGAAGAGUUGAACGCGUUGGACGAGUGUGAGACGACUAACGAAGACUACUCGGAAGAAGAAAGAAGUUAUUGUGUCAAGGUUUGCGGUGCAGUAGACUUCGUAAUGCGUCCAGGCCAAAACGGGCUGGGCAAACGGCAGCCGUUUGUAGUGAAGAACAUUGAUUCGCAGAAAAAAAAUCUUUUAGAUGCUGAAAUUUGUGCAACUCGUCAACGUCUCAGUAGCAGACUAAAUGCAAAACUGAGACGUUGGAUUGGCAGCCGCAAACGUGUCAGGAAGAAAAUAUUGAAAGUGUUAGUGGUAAAUCCGGUUCAGAUUUUUCACCGGAUGUUACGGGCUGGGGUGUUGGCACCGGUGGCUUGUACACAAGACGUGCCCAACUUGCAUUCAAGUUUUGGCCUGGCAGAAUUCUGACAGGGCAAAGUGACACAUUUAAACUUCAAACAGAAACCAAAACAAACAUUAGCUAGAGAAAACUAAUCCCAGUCAGGUGCAGUUACUAGGUUCUGGAUUUAAACUAUUAAUUUUUGAGCUGCAGUAAUGCUGCUCCAAAAAUGUAGUUUGGUCUAAAUUACGUCCGAACAG